GGUCCCGUGGGGGAGUCCGGAGUCCCCGUCACCCUGUCAAGGUGAAGAUCGCGAGUUCAAAUCUCGUCGGGACCGCCU
rnacentral:tRNA from 1 species